rnacentral:rRNA from 1 species
ACGAACGCUGGCGGCGUGCUUAACACAUGCAAGUCGAACGGAAAGGCCCUGCUUUUGUGGGGUGCUCGAGUGGCGAACGGGGGAGGAACACGGGAGUAACCUGCCCUUGACUUUGGGAUAACUUCAGGAAACUGGGGCUAAUACCGGAUAGGAGCUCCUGCUGCAUGGUGGGGGUUGGAAAGUUUCGGCGGUUGGGGAUGGACUCGCGGCUUAUCAGCUUGUUGGUGGGGUAGUGGCUUACCAAGGCUUUGACGGGUAGCCGGCCUGAGAGGGUGACCGGCCACAUUGGGACUGAGAUACGGCCCAGACUCCUACGGGAGGCAGCAGUGGGGAAUAUUGCACAAUGGGCGGAAGCCUGAUGCAGCAACGCCGCGUGCGGGAUGACGGCCUUCGGGUUGUAAACCGCUUUCGCCUGUGACGAAGCGUGAGUGACGGUAAUGGGUAAAGAAGCACCGGCUAACUACGUG